GACGGGGGAUGCAAGCGUUAUCCGGAAUGAUUGGGCGUAAAGGGUCCGCAGGUGGCCCGGUCAGUCCGCUGUCAAAGCCUGGGGCUCAACCCUGGAGAGGCGGCGGAGACCACCGGGCUUGAGUCCGGUAGGGGCAGAGGGAAUUCCCGGUGGAGCGGUGAAAUGCGCAGAUAUCAGGAGGAACACCCGUAGCGAAGGCGGCACUCUGGGCCGAUACUGACACUGAGGAGCGAAAGCGUGGGGAGCGAACAGG
rnacentral:rRNA from 1 species